rnacentral:rRNA from 1 species
AUGAUUGAGAAGAUUGAACGCUACACAAGUCCAAAGAACAUAACAGCAAUGGGAUCUCGAAGCAUCUGCCUUCUCAUUCUUCUUGUGAUCUUCAUCCCCAGCUCUGUCAUGUCUGAAUCAAGUGAUAUAAAAACUUUAUUCACUCUGAGGCACUCAAUUGCUGAAGAAAAAGGUUUCCUUCGCAGCUGGUUUGAUUCAGAAACUCCCCCAUGCAGCUGGCUAGGUAUAACCUGUUCGGGGCGUAGCGUUGUGGCCAUAGACUUGUCCUCCAUGCCACUCUACGUCCGGUUUCCUUCAUGCAUUGGGGCAUUCGAGUCGCUUGUUCUGCUGAACUUAAGUGGGUGUGGGUUUACUGGUGAGCUUCCAGACACCCUGGGGAAUUUGCAGCGUCUUCAGUACCUAGAACUGAAUGAUAACCAGCUUACUGGGAACCUGCCUGCCUCAUUAUAUACCUUGAAGAUGCUGAAAGAAAUGGUGCUUGACAACAACUUAUUACAUGGACAACUCAGCCCUGCAAUUGCUCAGUUGCAGCAUCUCACCAAGCUGUCCAUAUCCGGGAAUUCCAUCUCCGGUGGCAUUCCUACAGAGUUGGGCAGUCUGCAGAACCUAGAGUUUCUGGACCUUCACAUGAACAGCCUAAAUGAAUCUAUACCAGCAGCUUUUCGUAAUCUGUCUCAGCUGUUGCAUCUUGAUCUAAGCCAGAAUAACCUCAGUGGAUUAAUAUUUUCUGGAAUCAGCUCAUUGGUGAACCUUAUGUCACUUGAUCUGUCCUCAAACAAUUUUGUGGGGCCAAUACCUAGGGAGAUUGGUCAACUGGAAAACCUUCGACUGCUGAUUUUGGGCCAAAAUGCGUUCAGCGCGAGCAUUCCAGAAGACAUUGGUAAUCUGAAGCGGCUUCAAGUACUUCUGCUCCCUGAAUGCAAACUCACAGGCACCAUCCCUUGGUCAAUCAGCGGUCUUGUAAGCCUGGAGGAAUUUGACAUAUCAGAGAACCACUUAGAUGCUGAACUCCCAACAUCAAUCGGUCUGCUUGGCAAUCUGACACAGCUGAUUGCGAAGAAUGCAGGGCUCAGGGGGAGCAUACCGAAAGAACUAAGUAACUGCAAGAAGAUUACUCUCAUAAAUCUGUCAUUUAAUGCCUUCAUUGGCUCCAUCCCUGAAGAACUUGCAGAACUGGAAACUGUUAUCUCUUUUUCUGUGGAAGGGAACAAACUAUCAGGCAAUAUUCCAGAUUGGAUAAGGAACUGGGCAAAUGCAAGAUCUAUAUCGCUGGGUCAAAACUUGUUCAGUGGACCUUUGCCAUUGCUGCCAUUGCAGCAUCUGCUCAGUUUCUCUGCAGAAACCAACCGUCUCUCAGGUUCUGUCCCUGCUGAGAUGUGUCAAAACAACUCCCUGCAAACACUCAUACUGCAUGAUAACAAUCUGACUGGAAGUAUCGAGGAAACUUUUAAAGGAUGCACAAACCUCACCGAGCUGAACUUGCUAGGUAACCAUCUUCAUGGAGAGAUACCAGGGUACCUGGCUGAGCUGCCUUUAGUUAGUCUGGAAUUGUCCCUUAACAAUUUCACAGGAAUGCUGCCUGACAGGUUGUGGGAGUCAUCAACUCUUUUGCAGAUCUCUCUCAGCAAUAAUCAGAUUACCGGCCAGAUCCCAGAUAGCAUUGGUAGGCUGUCCAGCUUGCAGAGGUUGCAGAUUGACAAUAACUAUUUGGAAGGACCCAUUCCAGAGUCUGUUGGCUAUCUACGAAAUCUGACUAUUCUGUCUCUGCAUGGCAAUGGGUUAUCUGGGAACAUUCCAAUAGAACUCUUCAACUGCCGAAACCUUGCUACACUGGACCUGAGCUCUAAUAAUCUGACCGGUCACAUCCCGAGGGCCAUAUCGAACCUGACAUUGCUCAAUAGCUUGAUUUUGUCUUAUAACCAGCUCUCUGGUGCUAUUCCUGCUGAGAUCUGUGUGGGGUUUGAAAAUGAGGUUCACCCUGACUCGGAGUUUGUGCAGCAUAACGGCCUUCUUGAUCUGUCAUACAACCGGUUGACUGGUCAGAUUCCGGCAGCAAUAAAGAAGUGUUCUAUGCUGAUGGUGCUAAACCUGCAAGGCAACUUGCUAAAUGGCACCAUUCCCUCAGAGCUUGGUGAGCUGACAAAUCUUACAAGCAUUAAUCUGUCUUCUAAUGGAUUAGUUGGACCAAUGCUUCCUUGGUCUGCACCAUUGGUACAACUUCAAGGCCUUAUUCUAUCAAACAACCACCUAAAUGGCACCAUUCCUGUUGAGAUAGGCCAAGUUCUUCCCAAAAUUUCAAUGCUAGACUUGUCCGGUAAUGUACUUACCGGAAGUCUACCCCAGUCUUUGCUGUGCAACAAAUAUCUGAACCGCCUGGAUGUCAGUAACAACAAUCUCUCUGGGAAAAUUUUAUUCUUUUGUCCCAUGGACGGAGAAUCCUCAAGCUCAUUGCUUUUCUUCAAUUCAAGCAGUAACCAUUUCUCAGGGACCCUAGAUGAGUCUAUCUCAAACUUCACACAACUGUCUUCUCUUGAUAUCCACAACAAUAGCCUCACUGGAAGCUUACCAUCAGCACUCUCUGAUCUCAGCUUUUUGAACUAUCUUGACCUCUCAAGCAAUGAUUUCUAUGGUGUCAUCCCUUGUGGUAUUUGCAAUAUAUUUGGCCUCACAUUUGCCAACUUCUCUGGUAACCACAUCGAAAUGUUCAGCUCAUCUGAUUGUGCAGCAGGAGGUGUUUGUUCUACUAUUGGCACUGGUCGUAGGGUGGCUCAUCCAUCUCAUCGAGUUCGAAGAUUAGGGAUCAUUUGUAUCCUUUCACUUGCUGUCAUCAUUGUGUUGGUACUUCUGGUGUUUUAUCUGAGACACAAACUAUCAAGGAACAGUUCAUUGGUUAUUGUGCCUGCUGGUAAGGCCAAGGCUACCGUUGAGCCAACCUCAAGUGAUGAGCUCCUAGGAAGGAAGUCAAGGGAACCUCUGAGUAUCAAUCUCGCAACUUUUCAGCAUUCACUGUUGCGGGUCACUACCGAUGAUAUACUGAAAGCCACAAAGAAUUUCAGUAAAGAACACAUCAUAGGUGAUGGUGGCUUUGGCACUGUCUAUAGGGCGGCACUCCCUGAAGGCCGGAGAGUCGCGAUCAAGAGGCUUCAUGGUGGCCAUCAGUUCCAGGGUGACCGUGAAUUCCUAGCUGAGAUGGAGACCAUUGGAAAGGUGAAGCAUCCAAACCUUGUUCCCCUGCUUGGUUACUGUGUUUGCGGCGACGAGCGGUUCCUGAUCUACGAGUACAUGGAGAAUGGGAGCCUUGAGAUAUGGCUGAGGAACCGUGCAGAUGCGGUUGAAGCACUUGGAUGGCCAGACCGUCUCAAGAUCUGCCUUGGUUCUGCCCAUGGACUUGCUUUCCUUCAUGAAGGAUUUGUGCCUCAUAUCAUCCACCGGGACAUGAAAUCAAGCAACAUCCUGCUGGACGUGAACUUCGAGCCGAGGGUCUCUGACUUUGGCCUCGCAAGGAUAAUCAGCGCGUGCGAGACUCACGUCAGCACCGACAUCGCCGGUACAUUUGGAUACAUCCCCCCGGAGUACGGCCAGACAAUGAAGUCCAGCACGAAAGGCGACGUGUACAGCUUCGGCGUCGUCAUGCUGGAGCUUCUUACAGGACGGCCACCUACAGGGCAAGAAGACUUGGAAGGUGGUGGGAACCUUGUCGGCUGGGUACGAUGGGUGAUCGCUCGCGGGACAAGGAACGAGCUGUUUGAUCAUUGCCUGCCGGUCUCAGGCGUGUGGCGGGAGCAGAUGGUGCGCGUGCUCGGCAUCGCCCUGGACUGCACGGCCGACGAGCCGUGGAAGCGGCCAAGCAUGGUGGACGUGGUGAAGGGCCUCAAGACGACCCAGGCAAUGGAGUGCGGGCCUCUGGUGGUGACGGUGUCCAGGGGCUCGUAG